GGGCGAUUAGUUCAAUGGUAGAACGCUGCAUUCACAUUGCAGAGGCACAAGUUCGAUUCUUGUAUUGCCCA
rnacentral:tRNA from 1 species